GUCGGGGUGGCGUAGCCUGGUAGCGCGUCGCGCUCAUAACGCGAAGGUCGAGGGUUCAAACCCCUCUCCCGACACCA
rnacentral:tRNA from 1 species